GGGGAUUUAGUUCAGUGGUAGAGCGUUUGCCUAGCAAGCGCAAGGCCCUGGGUUCGGUCCCCAGCUCCG
rnacentral:tRNA from 1 species